CAAGUCUGAUGGAGCAACGCCGCGUGAGUGAAGAAGGGUUUCGGCUCGUAAAACUCUGUUGUUAAAGAAGAACAUAUCUGAGAGUAACUGUUCAGGUAUUGACGGUAUUUAACCAGAAAGCCACGGCUAACUACGUGCCAGCAGCCGCGGUAAUACGUAGGUGGCAAGCGUUGUCCGGAUUUAUUGGGCGUAAAGCGAGCGCAGGCGGUUUUUUAAGUCUGAUGUGAAAGCCUUCGGCUCAACCGAAGAAGUGCAUCGGAAACUGGGGAACUUGAGUGCAGAAGAGGACAGUGGAACUCCAUGUGUAGCGGUGAAAUGCGUAGAUAUAUGGAAGAACACCAGUGGCGAAGGCGGCUGUCUGGUCUGUAACUGACGCUGAGGCUCGAAAGUAUGGGUAGCAAACAGGAUUAGAUACCCUGGUAGUCCAUACCGUAAACGAUGAAUGCUAAGUGUCGGAGGGUUUCCGCCCUUCAGUGCUGCAGCUAACGCAUGGAAGCAUCCCGCCUGGGGAGUACGGCCGCAUGCUGAAACUCAAAGGAAUUGACGGGGGCCCGCACAAGCGGUGGAGCUGUGGUGAAUUCGAAGCUACGC
rnacentral:rRNA from 2 species